GACUGGCAGAUUAUUGCAAAAGGGCACGGGGCAGAGGGACUAUGUUGUGAGCCUGCGAAAGAAGUUUGUGUGGGGACUGUGGGCAGUGAACGCGUUGGGAACAAUAUGGAAAACUGGGAGCCGCCUUGGAAUCUACAGGGCCGGAGAGACCGAGGGGCUCACUAGGUUGACCAGGCUGGUCUUGAACUCCUGGCCUCAAGCCAUCCUCCCACCUCAGCCUCCCAAAGUGCUGGGAUUACAUGCAUGAGCCACCACAUCCAGCCUACCUAAAAUAUUGAAUGCUGUUAAUAAAUCUCCUGAGGCCAGCAUAAGAAGGUGAUGGGCAAAACUAAUGCAGGUCAUCCUCCGAAUGAAUUUAUAUUACCGAGUGGAGGGUCACAUGAAGAAAAUGGUCAAACAGCACCACCUACAGCAAGAGCUGAGAAGUGCAGCGGAGCCGGGCUGAGUCAGGAAAGAAAAGCAAGCUGGGGCCUGGCUCAGCGCUCUCCCCUCUGCUCCUGUCUGCACGGAAAGAUUAGGAUGACAGUGGCAGGACGCCUGUGCACCUAGUAUGCAUCACUUGAAGGGAACACACAGAUUCCAGUAAACAGUUGGAAGGAAAUGUUAAUACCAGGCUCUGCUAAACAAUAUGAAAUGACUCCUAGAUGAGACAAGCGACUUUCAUCAAAGUUUCCUGAUACCUGAAAAGACAGCCCAGGGGAUCCUGCACUACAUCUGGUGUAUGUAAAUUAAGCGGGUUUUUUUCCCCUUUGUAAUCAAGGCUCAUACACAAACAAAAUCACACUUUAGAAACGGCCUAUUUCAACUUGUAACUAGCUUGCUUUCAGGGGCUCCAGGUCAAAAAGAAAUAGAGCACAAAGACGCUUUCUCCUUAGGGAUCAUACACAAAUUCACUCUGUCCGUUUCUUUCCCACAUGGAGCAACAAAGCCAUCAGACCUCUCCAUCCACCCAUUGGGUCCUUCCUGAUUAAAGUGAGAUAAAUCACAGCCCUCUCUCUCCAGAUGGCAGGCGACAAGAGGGGGAUGCUUGCCUCAAGAAGUCCUCCCCAUCCCUCUGCAUUCAUGCAAGCCCGAGCGGAGAGAUGCAAGAAAUUAUGGAUGCGUUUUAAUUCCCCAGACCCUGCAAUUAAAAAUGGAAAUUUUUUGGCCACGUGUAUUGGCUCACGCCUGUAAUCCCAGCACUUUCAGAGGCCGAGGUCGGCGGAUCACCUGGGGUCAGGAGUUCGAGACCAGCCUGCCCAACAUGGUGAAACCCUGUCUCUACUAAAAAUACAAAAAUUAGCUAGGAAUGGUGGUGGGCGCCUGUAGUCCCAGCUACUCGGGAGGAUGAGGCAGGAGAAUCACUUGAACCCGGGAGGCAAAGUUUGCAGUGAGCCAAGAUCACACCACUGCACUCCACUCUGGGUGACAAAGCAAGACUUCAUCUCAAAAAAUGUUUUUAAAAAAUGGAAGUGUUGUUCUUUCAUUUGUAAAUGUGUUUUGGUAAAAGAGGGGCAGUUUAAGCACCCCUUUUUAUUGUCUACAUUGUUAAAAUUCAUCAGACAUGGACUCUUGACUCCGUUUUGCCUGGGCAGACCCAAUUCAAGCAUUUACAACAGCUAUAACCUCCUCAAAUCAAAAAGAGGAAUCAGCAUUAUUGCUAAGUUCAGAUAAGGUCUUGUUUUAUUUCAUUUUUAUUUUUGAAUGCAGCCAUUCCUCCAGGUGCUAUCAUCAGGUAAGAUUGUCAGUCCUGAUUAGGUAAAGGUAUUAUUACAAAAUGCAAUUCUUAAAAAUUCAGUGUCUAACUACACUUUUAAUAAGCCUUUCCCCCUCCCCUAUGUAUUCUCCCUUAGACACCCCUUCUCAAAUUUAAAAUCACAGAAACUAAAAUAUGAUGCCUAAAUAGAGCCUAGCGACUGCCCAGUCCUCUAAUUUGAUGAGUGGGAGUACUGAAGCCCAGAGGAAGUCAAGUAAUUUGUUCCCAAUGUCUUAGAUAAGAAGAAAAUGACCAGCUGGGAAAUCCCACUCAUGUCAAGGCAGAGGCACAGGGCCACAGACUGUGGUUGAAUUGUGCCACACUCCUACAUCCUUCUUUAGGAAUCACAGAACAUUCCUGUGUUGAGUCGGAGUCACUGACUUCCUUUUCAGGCUGAUUGAGUUCUGUCCUUACGGGCUGCGACAAGAAGUUUUGGUAUUAUGCUACACCAAGACCAUUUAUCUAGUUCAAGAAAUGAGCACAGUCCUUAGAGCCCAGCAACUUUCCCCAUGUCCAGUAAAUGUAGCUUCUCCAUUAGAAGCUGUCAGAAUGGAGCCUUCUGGCUCAUCUUGAUUUUGAUUUGUGCAAGAAUGAAUGGUUGUGCUAAGACAGCUUUCCUAGCUGAUAGUGAGCAAACCUUUUUUCUCAUAAUCUAUAAUAAAAUAUUAAAUUAGAAGCACA
rnacentral:lncRNA from 1 species